GGGCCGUCCCCGCGCUUGCAGGGCCGCGGCACCCGGGGCCCACGGGCGCUGCCCGGCAGGCCAAGGCUCUCACAGGCAACUUCAAGAUGCUAGACUUGGAUACUGUCCUACCCUCUUUCCCAGCAGAGUCUGAGGAAAGCCAGGAGACAGCUCUGCGGUUAGAGCUGGCACGGGUCACCUCGUACCACGGCGCUGCCACGAGACCCCUGCGAGGGGACAGCACAGUGGCUUUUGCCUUCAGACCUGAUGAAGUGCUCGUGUGCCUGCAAGCUUGGCUCAUUUUUUCCCCCCAUACCAGCUGGUCUAAUAAAUUACCUCUUCCUAACAACCUCAUGUUAGCUGUGUCCUUAGAUCAUACACAGCUAAACACUAUUAUGCCACCUCAAACUUGUAUUAAACCAUGAUGAAGAGUACUGUUGGUUUAAGAAAUAAUAAAAAAAAACCAAAGUCACCCAAACUACUACCUUGCAUUACAGGUACUCAUUCACCUUGUCCACUCCUCACAUAAGAUGAGGAAAGGAUCACAUUUAAAUUGUUGCCAGGAACAUGAGCAUUUUCUGUUUAAGCUGCUCUAAAUGUAUAACAAAAUACAUAGACUGCACAUUUUAGUAAGUCUGAGGUGCCUCCAGGCCUGAUGGUUAGGUUCCCUAACUGUCUGCCAGAGAGAGAGAGAGUUUAAAACAAGCAGUUUGCAUGAUUUAAAUUUUAAAGCAACUUUUUAGCCUAAUUUGAGAAAGGGAAGGGGUGGGGAAGGAGCAUUUUGUUGCAGAAAAAUCCCCUCUUUUCAAUCCACAUGCAAAAAGUCCUUUCUUUAAGGUCCGGCAGUUGGAGGCUGAACUCCCGUUUCAGACAUGCCUUUAUUUGGAAACAAUGCAGGAGCAGGCAAGGCAGGGCUUUUUCAUAGAUGCUGCCUGGCCACAGGCAAGCUAACAACAACUUGGCAAAGUGACAGGCAGCUCUGCACAAUCAAUACAGCCAUGUGCUCCUUGAACAAAAAAAAAAAUAACAAGCGUGGAGUUUAUGGUUUGAAAAAGCAAACAAACAAAAAACCCCUUUGUAAUUGCUUAUUAAUCAUUAAAGGAAAGAGGCAAAGACCAGAGCUCCAUACAAAUCCCACCAGGAUGAGGCUCACCCAGCUGCACUCUUGGGACAUAUUGCCUGGAGCACAGUGCUGUCUUCAGGACUGCAGUGUACCUGCUCUGGAGCACAAGCACCAGCUCCACAGCAGAGGCCACAGCCAUGCAAGGCACAGGCAGAGCUGGCUAUGAACAGGAGCUGGCUGAAGUGCUGACAAAGAACUCGAUGUAAAACUCCAACUGCACACCAUCAAUGUACCAAAACGCAGGAAUUUGGGGCAGAUCCCACACUGGCGUUGGGACUCAGCUGUUCCCAGCAAUACCUGCAAGAUGGCUCCUUGAGAUCACAUCCCCCUUCUUCCCACAGACAGGGAGAGAGACUAUUUUUACACAGCCACUGACCACUUUGACAAAAAUAAAUGUAAGGAAAACUUGAGGCCAGUCAUCUUCCUGAUACUCCUCUCUCCCAGGGAUCUUGGGCACAUUAGAGGCAGAGGAGACCAAGUGAGAAGAGCAGACCCCAAGAAUUUGAAGAAAUAACCUAACCUCAAGUGAAAGAUCAGGAUCUGCAUUUUCUUCCUCCACCCUGCUUUCUCUCACACCAGGAAAAACUCGCAGCUAGAAAAGCUGACAUAUCUUCAGAAAUUAUUCUUUUUACUUUUGGAAAAAGAGACUCCAUCCAGCUCCAUUCAGGUUUUCUUCCCUACCUUCCUCCUCCCUAGCAUUGCCAAGAUCAGAUACAGGAGCCAUACAAAAAGGCAUGAAAGCAAACAGAAAGAGGAGGUAUCUAUUUCAAGGUACUUUCAUCCUUUUCAGAAAAAAACCUUUUUCUUCCAGAAGUUCAAGUUCACACUCUGCACAAUCUUUACCUUGUGGUUUUCCCUACACUCCUGAAGCAUUGGUCCAGUGCUGUUGAACUGAGGAAAAAAAAUCCACUCCACUGCUGAUCCCAGCACUGGUGCUGGGUGGACCACCACCACCACUAUGCCAGUCUCUCACUUUCAAUCUCUCUAGACCAGUGUUCACAUCUGGCUUCUAUGAUAGGAGCCACUCAUACCCUCUGAUGGAUGGUCAAUAUGAGAAAGAAGGGCAAAUACUUAUUGAAAUACUAUUUUGCUAAGGAAAAGCCUAGCUUUCCAACUAACAUGGUUUUUCUUUCCAGUGGACAGGUUUGUGGUGGAGGUUUGGCAUCUGUUCAGUUCUUCCUCUGUGACAAGUAACUUUCCUGUCUCCUGCAUGGAUGCAAUCAGCACAGCUUUGGCUGCCAGCAUGUGACACCCAAAAGCCUUUCAUCCACAACAGUCUUGAACUUUGUUUUCCAUCAUGAAAUACAUCUUGCAGAUGUAUAUUUUUAUUUUUCCACUGGAUCUCAGGUAUGGAGGCCACAUUGUUAAAGCAUCUUUAGUAAGCAGGAAGAAGGUGGGCAGGACACAGUUUCUGUGGCACAAGUCCUUCUUGAAGGAAAAGGAUUCAAGACUGAGCAGUGUGGAAGACCUCAUGCUUACUUAAUCAUGCAAACUGCAGGAUCAGGCAAGUCAUAAAUAUGCUUUCCUCUUGGAGCACUCUGAAGGCCUCUGUCAAAAAGCCUGCCUGUGUUUUACACCCAAAAGCAGAUGCUGCCUCUUUAUGCGCCCUCCAACAAGGGCUGCUGAAAGCUGAGAUUAAGAAAUUAUUUACCUUCUCAAAAGAUUGCAUCAUAUCUCUCUAGACAUUAGCAAUUUCCUGUUGCACUCCCAGAACUGAUGAGAGUUCUUGAAAGUAUUAUUUGAUGAUAAAAUGCAUUUCAAAAUGUAACACUUUUUUUCAUAUUUGUAGUCACAAAGCAUCUCUAUUAGACUUACUGACUGCUGAAGAGCUGUCUCUUAAGAAGAAGGAUUUCAAUUUCAAAGCAAGUUCGAAUGAUUUUCUAAAUUAUCCUAAACUUGCAGAAUCAAUUUAACCUGUUUUGAG